rnacentral:rRNA from 1 species
AUGGCGGCCACGCUCUUCUCCAUCUCCCCCAUGUUCCUCUCCCUCCCCUCGUCCUCCUCCUCAUUUAAGCAGGCCCCCUCCGCAUUCUUUCCCUCGAAGACCCCGCAGCACCGCGCCCUCGCCUCCGCUGGCUGGAGGCACCCGCUCGCUUCCUUGGCCGUGUCCGUGUCGUCAGAUGUCGAGACGGAGGUCGCCCAGGAGUUCUCGGAGGACCUAAGGGUGUUCGUUGGCAACCUCCCCUUCAGCGUCGACAGCGCUCAGCUAGCCGGCCUAUUCGAGCAGGCUGGCUCCGUUGAGAUGGUCGAGGUCAUCUAUGACAAAUUGACUGGACGAAGCCGUGGAUUUGGGUUUGUAACUAUGUCUACUGUCGAAGAGGUUGAGGAGGCAGUUGAGCGGCUCAAUGGCUAUGUACUUGAUGGGAGAAGUUUGAAGGUGAAUUCAGGGCCGCCACCACCCAGGGACCAAUCCUCACCAAGAGGAUUUAGAGAGCAAUCAGGCGGAUUCAGGCAGCAAUCCUCACGUGGGCCUGGUGGUGGGGACAAUAGGGUCUAUGUGGGUAAUCUUUCUUGGAAUGUCGAUGACUCAGCUCUUGCAAACUUAUUCAAUCAGCAAGGGAGUGUCUUGGGGGCCAGAGUCAUCUAUGACAGGGAGAGUGGGAGGUCAAGGGGAUUUGGUUUUGUCACAUAUGGUACCAGUGAUGAAGUUGAGAAAGCAGUAUCUAAUCUUGACGGCUCUGACUUGGAUGGAAGACAGAUCCGUGUUACAGUAGCAGAAGUGAGACAACCUAGGCGAGAAUAUUAA